rnacentral:rRNA from 1 species
AGAGUUUGAUCAUGGCUCAGGAUGAACGCUGGCGGCGUGCCUAAUACAUGCAAGUCGAGCGAACUGAUUAGAAGCUUGCUUCUAUGACGUUAGCGGCGGACGGGUGAGUAACACGUGGGCAACCUGCCUGUAAGACUGGGAUAACUUCGGGAAACCGAAGCUAAUACCGGAUAGGAUCUUCUCCUUCAUGGGAGAUGAUUGAAAGAUGGUUUCGGCUAUCACUUACAGAUGGGCCCGCGGUGCAUUAGCUAGUUGGUGAGGUAACGGCUCACCAAGGUAACAAUGCAUAGCCGACCUGAGAGGGUGAUCGGCCACACUGGGACUGAGACACGGCCCAGACUCCUACGGGAGGCAGCAGUAGGGAAUCUUCCGCAAUGGACGAAAGUCUGACGGAGCAACGCCGCGUGAGUGAUGAAGGCUUUCGGGUCGUAAAACUCUGUUGUUAGGGAAGAACAAGUACGAGAGUAACUGCUCGUACCUUGACGGUACCUAACCAGAAAGCCACGGCUAACUACGUGCCAGCAGCCGCGGUAAUACGUAGGUGGCAAGCGUUAUCCGGAAUUAUUGGGCGUAAAGCGCGCGCAGGCGGUUUCUUAAGUCUGAUGUGAAAGCCCACGGCUCAACCCGUGGAGGGUCAUUGGAACUGGGA